rnacentral:rRNA from 1 species
ACGGAGGCAGCAGUGGGGAAUAUUGCACAAUGGGCGAAAGCCUGAUGCAGCGACGCCGCGUGAGUGAAGAAGUAUUUCGGUAUGUAAAGCUCUAUCAGCAGGGAAGAAAAAUGACGGUACCUGACUAAGAAGCACCGGCUAAAUACGUGCCAGCAGCCGCGGUAAUACGUAUGGUGCAAGCGUUAUCCGGAUUUACUGGGUGUAAAGGGAGCGCAGGCGGUACGGCAAGUCUGAUGUGAAAGCCCGGGGCUCAACCCCGGUACUGCAUUGGAAACUGUCGGACUAGAGUGUCGGAGGGGUAAGCGGAAUUCCUAGUGUAGCGGUGAAAUGCGUAGAUAUUAGGAGGAACACCAGUGGCGAAGGCGGCUUACUGGACGAUAACUGACGCUGAGGCUCGAAAGCGUGGGGAGCAAACAGGAUUAGAUACCCUGGUA